UCUUUAGCAGAGCAGUCAGAUAAAAUAAUGACUUCAGAAACUGAGAUUCCUAAGGAAACGCACCAUGAUUACGAAGCAUGAAUGCACAGAUUUGCACACGGUGCAGCUGGAUAUCGACAACAGGAGAUUCCCAGAUUUGAGCCUUCAACCAGAUCUAAGGCACAGAGCAGAACAUUAUGACCUGUUGAGGCUUUUCUGAACAGCAGCAAAGCUUUAUUUUAUCAGGUCCUUCAAGGCUUGGCAUAAAAAAGGUUUAACAAGUUUGACACAUGCUGAUUUAGCAUUUAUACCACAAACUGAAUCUGC
rnacentral:lncRNA from 1 species